rnacentral:siRNA from 1 species
UCUCUGGAGGCCUUACCUAGGCA